UGGGGAAUCUUGCGCAAUGGGCGAAAGCCUGACGCAGCGACGCCGCGUGAGGGAAGAAGGCCUUCGGGUUGUAAACCUCUUUCAGGAGGGACGAAGCCACUCGGGUGAAUAGCCCAGAGGGUGACGGUACCCCCAGAAGAAGCCACGGCUAACUACGUGCCAGCAGCCGCGGUAAUACGUAGGGGGCAAGCGUUGUCCGGAUUUAUUGGGCGUAAAGAGCGUGUAGGCGGCCUGGUAGGUCAGCUGUGAAAACUCGAGGCUCAACCUCGAGACGUCGGUUGAAACCACCUGGCUAGAGUCCGGAAGAGGAGAGUGGAAUUCCCGGUGUAGCGGUGAAAUGCGCAGAUAUCGGGAAGAACACCCGUGGCGAAGGCGGCUCUCUGGGACGGUACUGACGCUGAGACGCGAAAGCGUGGGGAGCGAAC
rnacentral:rRNA from 1 species